AAGGGAACCCUGCUAUUUGCAACAACAUGUAUGGACCUUGAAUGUGUAAUGUUAAGAACAAAUACUGCAUGAUACCAAGAACUGGAAUCUAUAAAAAAAGAAAAAGUCAAACUCAUAGAGAGUCACAGUGGAAAAGUAUUACUGAGGGUUGGGAGCAUGGGGGAAAUAGAAUUUAGUAGAAAAAUUAAGAACUUUUGGCUCUAAGAUAAAUAAGGUCUGAAGAUCUAAUGUGUAACAUGGUGACUAUAGUUGAUAGCACCAUAUUAUAUAAUUGUAAAUUCACUAAGAGAGUUGAACUUAAAUGUUUUCACUCCCCCAUCCCCUAAAAAGUGCUGAUGAAUGUGUUAAUUAAUUAGAUGGUGGAGAUCAUUUCAUGUUAUAUAAGUACAUUAAACCAUCAUGAUACACACUUUAAAUAUCUUAGUUUUAUUAUAUUGAUGUCAGUUGUAUCUUGGUAGAGCUGAACAAAAUAAAAAAUAAAAAUAACAUACAAAAGAAACAAGGAAAAAAAUCUUUAAUCCUAUUUUUGUCAGAUAAACUGAUGUAAUAUUUUAAAAGUUUAACUUUUUAAAAAAAUUUUUACUUAAAUUUGAUGGGAAAAUUAAAUGAAGCUUAAAUGAUUAGUGAACUGGAGAUAAAUGUUUUUUCAAAACCAUAAAUAUUUCAUCCUAAGAGUCUUCCAAUAUUAAAGAAGAUUAUGGAAAUCUUUAAAUACUCUGGAAAGAAGAAAAUAAGGAAAGGCUGAUCUAAAAGUAGAAUAUCUUUUUAAAGAAUAAUUUAUUGAGAUGAAAUUUAUAUUACAUAAAAUUAAGUGAAUAAUUCAAUAGCUCUUAGUAUGUUCACAAUGCUGUGGAGCCACCACCUCUCUCUAGUUCUGCACAUUUCCAUCCCUCUAAGGUGCCUUACUUUUCACACAUUCUGACGUCUUCCCAUCUCCUGGUAUCUGCAUUCUGUCUCGAAGGAUUUAUCUAGUUUGAAUAUUUCAUAUAAAUGGAAUCAUGUUAACUUUUAUGUCUGGCUUAUUUCACUUGGCAUUCUGUUUUCAAGGUUCAUUCUUACUGCACCCUGUCAGUACUUUUCCUUUUGCAUAGCUGAAUAAUACUCCACUCUAUAUAUAAUUAUUUGCAUUGUUUCUACCUUUUGGCUGCUGUGAGUAGUGCUUUCAUGAAUUUGUGUGUACAUGUUCUUAUUUGAGUACCUGUUUUCAGUUCUUUUAGAUAAAUACAUGGGAGUAAAAUUGCUGCAUCAUGUAAUUAUUUACCUUUUUGAGAGACCACCAAAUUUUACAAAUUGUAAAAAUCUAUGGAUGAGUUAUGACUCAUAUUUCUCCUACUCACCUCAGCCCAGGAGCACAGUAGAUAAGUAUGGAAUAUGAUAAGACCAUUAGAGUUCUAGCAUUUUCUUCCUAGUAUAUUGUGAUAUCUGGGAUCACUUUCAUGUGUUUCUGAGUUAGAAUAAUGUUGUUCUUCCUAGCUAUUUUUAUUCAAGUUCCCAGCCCCCUAUAGUGAUUCCUCCUCUGGCUCUAGGAACUGCUCUUGUUGUCUUGGGACAUGAUUCAAGCAGCUUGUUUGCUGUGCUCUGACAGUGGAGAGUUUAAGUUAGGAAGGGUUACAGAUGGGAAAGGAGUUUCAGCCCACCCUUCAACAAUGCAGAUCUGAACUGCAUCGUCCACUCAAACGUGGAUAGUUUUUCAGUAGUAAAUACCGUAGUAGUACAGGGUCCAUGGUUGGUUGACUCUGUGGAUGCCUGGCAACUUUACAUACAGACAGCCAACUGUAAAUGAUACUCAGAUUAACCUUCAUUGUUCAAGGGUAAUAUGCAAUUGUUAGACAAAAAAAAUUGACUAGACUUGUGCUUACUUUUCCUCAAAGCACCUAGUGGGCCCCUCUUGGGUUUGCAUAAUUCAUUUCUAUUCUUUACAGACCAGACUCUACCUUUCCCUACAACUUGAUAUGAGUUCCUUGGUCACUGGGCUGGAAGGCAUUUUGUGUACUACGUCCUAUGUAUCCAUACAUUUACUUGUGUACUUAGGACAUAUUUACUGAGAGUCAGUAUAUUUGGUAUACUGUUGGUUUACUUAGUUCUCUGUCUUUGGGGAGCACCAUUAGGAAGUACUAAUUAGCAAUAAGGUGAUUUAGGCUUUGUAUGAUUUUAUUCUGAUUCCCUCUAAAGACAGAUUCUAGCUUAUUGCAUUCCCCUUGAAGCAAGAAUGAAAGUUCUCUCUCAUUUUCUUUUGAGAUUUGCUUACCUUAUGUCAUGGUCUAACAUUUGAAAUAUAUCUGUUAUUUGUGAUUAGGCCUCCCAGUACUUCACGGGCUAACUCUGAGAUAAGUUCUCCUUUUAUAGGCGAAUAGUCAAUGUGUCACAGGUCACUCCUUCGCCAUCAUCUCAGCUGAUUCCUUGUUAAAUAACUUAUUUUUUUUUGGGGGGGGGUGCUGCACCUGCAGCAUAUGGAGGUUCCCAGGCUAGGGGUCUAAUCAGAGCUACAGCUGCCAGCCUACGCCAGCCACAGCAACGCAGGAUCUGAGCGCAAUGCCAGAUCCUUAAUCCACUGAGCAAGGCCAGGGAUCGAACCCGCAACCUCAUGGUUCCUAGUUGGAUUCGUUUCCACUGUGCCACGAUGGGAACUCUCCUGAAUUAAAAAAUUUUAAGUGGAGAAGAUGUUUGAGGAUGUAGGGAGAAGGUGAAAGGGCCCCUAAUCAUACACUCAAAAAUGUCAUCAGCUUCCAGAGUAGAAUCAAUCUGAAUUUUUCUAUUCCUUUGAUCAACAAAUUCUUAUUGACUGUUUCUAUGACAGGUACCCAGCUAAUUCUUCAAUAAAUGUGUCAUGUUAUAAUGUUUUCCUUUUUAAGUUGUAUGUAAGGAGAAUCAACUUUCUUUUUCUUGCCAAGUUUAUUUAUUUAUUUUUUUAUUUUUAGGUUUUCAGUGUCCACGUAGUAGACAUAACUCUUACUUUUGGAUAAUGGAGAAACAACCAACUCUAUAUGAAAUGUGGAAAAUACAAAAUCUGUUUUACUUUCUCUCCCUCUUAUUCACUUUUAAAAAAGACUUGACAGUGAACUUGACCAAUACUUGAACCUCCUCCUCCCUGCAUUUCCACUAGUCUCUGUUGUACCCAGUAGACCUGAAAGAAUCGUCACGAACUGAAAGGGAGAAGUUAUAUGGGCACAUAAUUAGACAAAUAGUAAAUGGGGUCUGAGAAGUGGCUGUAUUCUAUUUUAUGUAGAGUUUUUAAGUUUUUACUUUAUUUCCAUUUAGGAAUACUGAAUAGUCUGUGAAUAGCUGACCCAUUUAAAUGGGAUUUUUAAAAUCUUUGAUUUGUAAUGAUUUAACCUUUAUGAUACUAACAUUUAAUUAAUCUCACAGCUAUACUGGCUCAUUAAACCACUGAGCAAGGCCAGGGAUUGAACCCGCAACCUCAUGGUUCCUAGUCAGAUUUGUUAACUACUGAGCCAUGAUGGGAACUC
ensembl:lncRNA